rnacentral:lncRNA from 1 species
CAAAAUACUGUGUCACAACAAAGGAAGUUUGCGUCUACUGUGAGGAUCUUGAGUUUUUGUUUGUUUGUUUUUGAUUUUGAGACACGGUCUCUGUGACCUAGCCUGGAGUGUACUGGUAUGAUGACAGCUCACUGCAGCCUCAAACUUCUGGGCACAAGCGAUCCUCCUGCCCCAGUGCUCAGGAGUUUGAAGUUGCUGUGAGCUAUGAUUGCACCACUGCAUUCCAGGCUGGGAUUACAGGUGUGAGCUAUGAUCUCACCACUCCUCCCACAUACCUGGCCAAGAUUUUGAGUUUUUUGGAAUUUUUUUUUUUUUUUCCUGAGACGGAGCCUUGCUCUGUCCCCCAGGCUGGAGUGCAGUGGCGCAAUCUCGGCUCACUGCAAGCUAUGCCUCCCGGGUUCACAUCAUUCUCCUGCCUCAGCCUCCCGAGUAGCUGAGACUACAGGCACCCGCCACUACGCCCAGCUAAUUUUUUUUUGUAUUUUUAGUAGAGACGGGGUUUCACCAUGCUAGCCAGGAUGGUCUCGAUCUCCUGACCUCAUGAUCUGCCCGCCUCGGCCUCCCAAAGUGCUGCGAUUACAGGCAUGAGCCACUGUGCCUGGCCCGAUUUUGAGUUUUUAAAGAAAAUUCUCCUCACCAUUCAGCCAGAACGAUUUGUAUUGAAUUGAAUUCUGCACAUGCUAACAUGAUAAACAUGGAGAUAAGUUGACCUUUCAGUGAGGGCCAGAAUUCAGACCUUAUUUUUUUGAGACGGAGUCUCGCUCUGUUGCCAGGCUGGAGUACAAUGGCGUGAUCUUGGCUUGCUGCAACCUCCGCCUCCCUGGUUCAAGCAAUUCUUGUGCCUCAGCCUCCUGAGUAGCUGGGAUUACAGGCACACGCCACCACACCCAGCUAAUUUUUGUAUUUUUAGUAGAGAUGGGGUUUUACCAUGUUGGCCAGGAUGGUCUUGAUCUCCUGACCUCGUGAUCCACCCGCCUUGGCCUCCCAAAGUGCUGGGAUUACAGCUGUGAGCCACCACGCCUGGCCGAAUUCAGACCUUUUGAACAGUAGGAAUGAGUCUUGCAGUAGAGAUGAGUAAGAAGGGCAGUGAGAUGGAGGCUGGGCCUCCCACUUGUGCUCAGGGAAGAGUCUUGUGGCCACCGAGGUGAACAUGUAUCCUGGACUUCUCAUGGGCCUGGGACUCUCUACCCGUACUGAGUACACAAGGGGAUGAGUGGCUUUUUUCACAGAGGGGAGUUUAGCAUUUGUGCGGUGUGAAUUAAAUUAUUAACCUAGAGGAUAUUUCAGCACUUCCUUUUUUGUAAGGUAUCAUUUCCAAAUUUGUGGUGUAGGGCAGUAACACAGGUUAAUGGAAUAAAUCAUAAAGAAUUGGUACCAGUGAAAUGCAGAUAAAUUGUUUAAAAUCUUUUUUUUUUUUUUUUAAGACAGAGUUUUUCGCUCUUGUUGCCUAGGCUGGAGUGCAAUGGUAUGAUCUCGGCUCAUUGCAACCUCCGCUUCCUGGGCUCAAGCGAUUCUCCUGCUUCAGCCUCCCGAGUACCUGGGAUUACAGGUGUGCACUACACCACCGCACCCAGUUAAUUUUGUAUUUUUAGUAGAGACAGGGUUAAUCCAUGUUGGUCAGGCUGGUCUUGAACUCCUGACCUCAGGUGAUCUGCUCACCUCCGCCUCCCAAAGUGCUGGGAUUACAGGUGUGAGCCACCACACCUGGCCCUAAAAUCUUUUUUUCUGAAUUUAAGCUCAGUGUUCAGGUUGAUGAUACAAGUUCUUUUUAAGUUUAAAAAUCAAAUUAAAUGUAUAAGCUUGAAAGCACACGUAACUUAGAGUAAUUAUGUAAAGGCCAAAGUAUUAUUACGAGUCUCACUCUGUUGUCCAGGCUGGAGUGCAGUGGCGUGAUCUUGGCUCACUGCAACCUUGGCCUCUUGGAUUCAAGCCAUUCUCCUGCCUCAGACUCCCCAGUAGCUGGGAUUAAGGAGCCCACCACCAGGCCUGGCUUUGUGUUUUUUGUAGCAACAGAGUUUCACCAUGUUGGCCAGGCUGGUCUCAAACUCCUGAACUCAGGUGAUCCGUCCCGCCUCCGCUUCCCAAAGUGCUGGGAUUAUAGGUGUGAGCCACUGCGCCUGUCCUAAGGCUGAAAUAUUAUUAAUGCUUAUUUCAGAUUUGUCUACUAAAUUUAACAUCACUGUAGAGUUAGAAAAUAAUGUAACAACCCGUCGUUGGUCUCUUAUUUGAACCACAAUGAUUUUAUUCAAAUUCCAACUUCAAAAUGAAUUUAUGUUUUGAAUUUAUAUUAAAAAUUAUCAGAAAAUUUGCAAGAGUACAUAAGUAGUUUAGGUUUAAAAUUUGGCUCAUUUCAUUGAAAUAAUAAUGUAUUAAUGUGGGGGAAGAGAGAAAGAUGAGGACUAUGAUCCUGUCCUUGUCUGCUGUAUUUUAAUAAUUUGACUAAGAUGUGGAUCCAAGUACUGUUUCCACAGUGGCUGGGGAGCCUCGAGCCCAGUGUGAUUGGUGGGGGCUCAGUGUGUACAAAGAUUGUCAGGGUGUGUGGUUUUCUGGAAAACAAAUGGCUUCUUCAAGUCCUUGAUUUUUGGAUACACAGGAUGCAGGGCUGUGUGUAAGGAAAGGCAGCGUUUUCCUCUCUUAGAGCCUCUGACUGACCUGAGGCGCAGGUGUUCCUGGGAGACUGGAGGGUGGGCUCCAUGGGGGUGUCUGGGCCCCACCUGGCAGGGCUCUUGGCAGUGAGCCAGUGGAGGUUGCCUCCCACGUGUGGCUGGCCCUGUAGCCUGGCUCUGGAGAACCUGCAAUUCAGGCUGGAAGAGACUUUGGAGCAGCUGGAGUGUGAGGUCUGCCUGGGUCUGGUGGGGAGUGUUUUUACUUUGCCAGUGAUAGACUGAAAUGCCCUCUUUGAGGACAAGGUGGCUUUUUUUUUUUUUUUAAAUCGGUCUCUGUCUGUCGCCCAGGCUGGGGUACAGUGGCACGAUCUCGGCUCACUGCAACCUCCGCCUCCCGGGUUCAAGUGAUUAUCCUGGCUCAGCCUCCCGAGUAGCUGGGAUUACAGAUGCCCGCCACCAUGCCCGGCUAAUUUUUGUAUUUGUAUUUUAUUUAUUUAUCUAUUAAUCUAUUUUUUGAGAUGGAAUCUUGCUUUGUUGCCCAGGUGGGAGUGCAGUGACGCAGUCUCAGCUCACUGCAGCCUCCGCCUCCUGGGUUCUGGGUUCAAGCAAUUCUUCUGUCUCAGCCUCCCAAGUAGCUGGGACUACAGGUACGUGCCACCAUGCCUGGCUAACUUUUUUUGCAUUUUUAGUAGAGACGGGGUUUCACCAUGUUGGUCAGGCUGGUCAGAACUCCUGACCUCAGGUCAUCUGCCCACCUCGGCCUCCCAAAGUGCUGGGAUUACAGGCGUGAGCUACUGCGCCCGGUCGAGGACAAGGUUCUUAUUUGUCCAAGGGCCUGGUCUGGAGGCUAUGAUUAGUAAAGUGUUUUUUAGGAAGAUCAAUUGGACAGGACAGUUUGGGUUUGUUGUUGCUAUUUUUCUGGGCAUGGUGGCGGGCACCUCUAGUCCCAGCUACUUGGGAGGCUGAGGCAGGAGAAUGGCAUGAACCCAGGAGAUUGGAGCUUGCAGUGAGCCGAGAUCGCGCCACUGCACUCCAACCUGGGCGACAGAGCGAGACUCCGUCUCAAAAAAAAAAAAAAAAGAAAGAAAUGGAGUUGAGGCCUGGUCAGCUCUUUGCCGAGUAGACAGCAGACGAUGUCUGAAGGAGGACAGCUCCCAGUGGAAAAGAAAACGAGAUUGUGUUGUUUGAAGAGCUGAGCAGAGCGGGUCGGAACGGAGCUACUAGGAAAGUCUGGUGUGUUUCCGUAUUGAAGGGCUGCAAGGUGGCUGAAAUGCCUUCGUUUUGCGACCUGAAACUCCUGACAAGCUUGUGAGUGGAGCUGAGCCUGGGACACAGGAGUUGGCAUGUGUUGGCAUAAAUAAAGGGAUGUUCAUAGCAGAGGGCAAAUGGCGCUUUGCACUUUGAAAAGUGUUCAGUGUACAAAUCAGUUGCCUUUAAUAACUACUCUGUAUUUAAGCUCCGCCUCCUGGGUUCAAGCGAUUCUCUUGAACCCACAGGGUGAAGGUUGUGGUGAGCUGAGAUGGCGCCACUGUACUCCAGCCUGGGUGACAUAGCAAGACUUUGUCUCAAAACCGAAGAUAUUCAUUUGGCAAAUUGAGAUACAUUGUUAUCACUGAUUUGUAGACACAGAACACAUUGCAGCUAUUUUAGCAUAAUUGUUACUUUAAGUUAAAAACCCAGUAACCAACUUACUUCUGCCUCACCUUAGUGUUUAGUACUUCUUCCAGUGGUAAAACUCUGUGUUCCUUUUAUUUUAUUAUUUAGAGUCUCACUCUGUCACCCAGGCUGGAGUACAGUGGCACCAUCAUAGCUCACUGCAGCCUUGAACUCCUGGACUCAAGCGAUCUUCCCACCUCAGUCUCCCGUGUAGCUGAGAGUACAGGCCUGCAUGGCCAUUCAGGGCUAAUUUAUUUUUUUUUGGACGUGGGGUCUCGCUAUGUUGCCCAGGCUGGUCGCAAAUUCCUGUCCUCAAGCAGUCCCCCCACCUCAGUCUGCCAAAGUGCUGGGAUUACAGGUGCGAGCCACCCUGCCUGGCCUAUACAUGUUUUCAAGUGCUGAUCAUUUAUUAAUAGUGAAGUGAUUGUAGUCAGGCGUGGCUCCCCCAUUUACUGGCAGGUCCCAUUUAGACCUGCGGUUGCAGAAGUACAGCACAGCUCUGUGCAUGAUUGGUGGAAAUAUUCCAGGAGAUGAGGCUGUUACAGUAACAGCAGAUUUUUCCAUUGUGAAAAUGUAACUAUUCCUGCUUUGUUGAAGAGAAAGAUUUUUUUGGAAAAUGAAGAAAAGAGGAUUUCUAAAUUAAGGAAGCUUUUAGUGAAAGCAGUUGGCAUUUGGGUAGUAGUAUUCUUAUCUGUUUAACAUUUUUGUGGGGCUCUUGUUUUCUUUUAUGUUUGGUUUUUGGAGCAAUUUAUAAUAUCUUAAAUAAUGACAGUCAUAGUAAAUCAACCUCCACACUUUUUCAUGAGGAAUUUUUGAAUUUGCUGCUAAAAUGCAGUACAGGAGGGCAUGUUUAAGGCACACAUUACCAUCUCUACAAUGUGAAGCGGGCUUUGAGCACGGAACAAGGUGUUACAGCUGUACCUAGGAAGUGGUGGCAGGGAGACCAGAAAGUACCUCGUGCCAGAGCCACAGCCCCUGCGGCCCUGCUUUCCUCGUGCACGUCAGUUUAGAGUGCACAUUGGGCUUCAAACGCCUCUGCUGAUUUGUUAGGAACAGAGAAGGUGCUCUGCUGAGAAUUCCGUAGAUUUCUAGACAGUAUUUGGUUUUUGCUGCAGUUUGUCAUUUGAGAUGGAAUGCUUGUGUUCUUUGUCCUGUGAAGGGCAUUGGAGUACGACACCGGGGUGAGUCUGCCUCCUUCCCCUCCCUGGGACGUAUGACAGUGUCUGGAGGCACAUUUGGUUGGCAUAGACUGGGAGGACGGGUGCUACUGGCAUCUAGUGGACAGAGGCCAGGGAUGCCACUGAAAAAUCUUACAACGCACAGGACGCAGGAGGGGAGAGCCGCCUGUUGCGUAGCAACCUGGCAGCUGAUAAUAUAAUAAAAGUUGGUUAUGACUCUUGGUCCUACUGGUGGUAAGUUUUAAUAAUUUUUUUUACAGAUGAUUCCUGCUUAAAACCUUUAUGCUACCAAAGCAUCUGUUCAAAUUAUACUUGAAAGCGCC